rnacentral:lncRNA from 1 species
AAAGACUGUUGAUGGCACAAUCGUGGUAGCGAAGUUAUGCGAAUAAGUGCUGAAAGGAUUUAGAGUUCGCAGUUGGUGACCGUGUGUUUCUCAAGGUAUCGCCCAUACGUGGAGUGAAGCAGUUCGGAAUUCGGGGGAAGUUUAGUCCCCGAUACAUUGGGCCGUAUGAGAUUUUAGAGCAGAUUGGAUCGUUGGCGUAUAAGCUUGCGUUA